rnacentral:rRNA from 1 species
GAUGAACGCUGGCGGCGUGCUUAACACAUGCAAGUCGAACGGGAAACAUUUCAUUGAGGCUUCGGCGGAUUUGAUCUGUUUCUAGUGGCGGACGGGUGAGUAACGCGUGGGUAACCUGCCUUAUACUGGGGGAUAACAGCCAGAAAUGACUGCUAAUACCGCAUAAGCGCACAGAACCGCAUGGUUCCGUGUGAAAAACUCCGGUGGUAUAAGAUGGACCCGCGUUGGAUUAGCUAGUUGGCAGGGCAGCGGCCUACCAAGGCGACGAUCCAUAGCCGGCCUGAGAGGGUGAACGGUCACAUUGGGACUGAGACACGGCCCAGACUCCUACGGGAGGCAGCAGUGGGGAAUAUUGCACAAUGGGGGAAACCCUGAUGCAGCGACGCCGCGUGAAGGAAGAAGUAUCUCGGUAUGUAAACUUCUAUCAGCAGGGAAGAUAA